UACAGAGGGGGCAAGCGUUGUUCGGAAUUACUGGGCGUAAAGGGCGCGUAGGCGGCCCGCUAAGUCGAACGUGAAAUCCCCGAGCUCAACUCGGGAACUGCGUCCGAUACUGGCGGGCUUGAAUCCGGGAGAGGGAUGCGGAAUUCCAGGUGUAGCGGUGAAAUGCGUAGAUAUCUGGAGGAACACCGGUGGCGAAGGCGGCAUCCUGGACCGGCAUUGACGCUGAGGCGCGAAAGCCAGGGAGCAAAGCGGG
rnacentral:rRNA from 1 species